GGCGUGGUUCGUGUUGCUCAUUCUUUAGUUUUCUUUGUUCUGUUUUGUGUACCUACUGUUUGUCUUUUUUUUUCUAUUUAAGCCAUGGAGUUUAUUUUCGACAUUUAAGUUUAAAUGUAUCUCUGGUGUCUUUUGCCUCUUUUUUGUGUCACAUAUAACUCGAACCUGGCUUGUGAUUACAACGACUCUGUUAGACUUCGACGUGACAUCAAACAAUAAUAAUAGUGCAUAAACAAAACUCCUCAACGAUACAUUGCUU
rnacentral:lncRNA from 1 species